AUUGAACGCUGGCGGCAGGCCUAACACAUGCAAGUCGAGCGGAUGAAGGGAGCUUGCUCCUGGAUUCAGCGGCGGACGGGUGAGUAAUGCCUAGGAAUCUGCCUGGUAGUGGGGGAUAACGUCCGGAAACGGGCGCUAAUACCGCAUACGUCCUAAGGGAGAAAGUGGGGGAUCUUCGGACCUCACGCUAUCAGAUGAGCCUAGGUCGGAUUAGCUAGUUGGUGGGGUAAAGGCCUACCAAGGCGACGAUCCGUAACUGGUCUGAGAGGAUGAUCAGUCACACUGGAACUGAGACACGGUCCAGACUCCUACGGGAGGCAGCAGUGGGGAAUAUUGGACAAUGGGCGAAAGCCUGAUCCAGCCAUGCCGCGUGUGUGAAGAAGGUCUUCGGAUUGUAAAGCACUUUAAGUUGGGAGGAAGGGCAGUAAGUUAAUACCUUGCUGUUUUGACGUUACCAACAGAAUAAGCUCCGGCUAACUUCGUG
rnacentral:rRNA from 1 species